UUUAUUUAAAAAGAAUUUGAUUUACCACUUAGAUAUUUUAUCUACUUGACUUUCAAGCUUGACAUAAGUCCUAGGGAAAGAAGUAGCUGCUUCUCGCUCGUGUAGAUUGUUGUACCGUCAGGUGUAUGAAAGUGUAAACCCCACUUUCCACGCAUAGAAGCAGGCUACACUUCAGAAGUCCACACUGUGUGCCUGUCUGCAGACAUCUUUCCGACCGGGAACUCUGGCCUGGGGACGCCAAGAACCGCUGGUCUGCUUCUCUGAAGUCUUCGCUGACGUUUUGCCCUUGACCUCUGGAGCCCGUUUCCUAACACACCCUUCGAAACGCAUAGGCACGUAGCAGAUGCGCAGCAAAUGAGGACGGGUGAAGGAGGCGGCUGACAGAGACGCCUGUGGAGAGGCUGUUGUUCUUUUUACUGUUUUAUUUUGCCUCUGAAGACGGAUGCGUAGGUGCAGGCCGGGAGUGAAACCAGUCAGGAUAGAAAAACUCAGACUCGCUCACGGUGGUGUCCCGUAAGGUGAAGGUUGUCGCGCUAAUAAUCGUCAGCGCUGAGCGGGAACAAUCACCAGCAGAUCUCUGGCAGAACCAGGCACUCCCCCCCGCUCGCCCCCGCGCCUCACCCGCUGGGUCAGAGCCGUUGGAACAAUUCUACUCUGGGACAUCGGUCCCCUGGUGGCCCCAGGUAGCAGUGUUUGUCAAACUCGUGGAACACGAUCGGUUGGGAGACGGCUGAUGCUGAUGCUGGGAAAGAUUA